rnacentral:tRNA from 1 species
GGAGGAUACGCGAAUUGGUUAGCAGCCUGACUCGAAAUCAGGUGCCGGCUUGCCGGUUGAGGGUUCGAGUCCCUUGUCCUCCG